GAUGAAGAACGUAGCGAAAUGCGAUAAGUAGUGUGAAUUGCAGAAUUCCGUGAAUCAUCGAAUCUUUGAACGCACAUUGCGCCUUCUGGUAUUCCGGAAGGCAUGCCUGUUCGAGAGUCAUUAACAACCGUUUCGAUCCCUUUCUUUCAGAAAUUACAAAGAGGAAAAGGGUUUGGUUAUGGUGGAGGAGGGAAAGGGAGCGUUUAGCCUGUAAAAAAAGAGGCUGUGUUCCGCCUCCCCCCCAAAAUUGUACAGGCGGUCGUGUGCGCCCACGCAUCGAGGUGUUGUAAAAGCUGCCACGGCACUUUUCACCUGUGCAGUGCGAGAUUGGCCAGCCGGUUUAAAAACCCCUCCAAACAAGCAAAGGUUGACCUCGGAUCAGGUAGGGAUACCCGCUGAACUUAAGCAUAUCAAUAAGCGGAGGA
rnacentral:misc_RNA from 1 species